UCUAUGCUGAAAGAGAGAUUUGUCUUUUCUCUCAGACCUGUCACUUGUUUUGAUUCUUCCUCCCCCUACCCUCCCUUCCUCUCUAAGGGGAGCAGUGAAAAUGACAACGUUUCAUCACUUGCUGUUUGAGCUGCUGCUCUGGGAGCUGCCUGACUGGUCCUUCAUCCUUACUGUAGCUACAGAGAAGGAAUGUGAUCAUCUUUGUGUGGAGACAAGAAAGUGUGCCAGGCAGGUGUCAUCUGCAGGUUUUGGCUGUUUAUAUUGGAAGUUUGUUCCUCUAAACUGACACCUGCCUCCAAACCACUCACCGGUUCUCCAGAAAUCUCACCAUGGAUUCACCGCUGUUCCACGUCAGCCAGCUGUCCUCGCCCAGUCUACCUGCUCACGGAGAUUCCUUCCACACACCUGGUUACUCUUGGACUUGUUUGUACAAUAAACCAAAACUAACCACUUCAACUCUCUCUGUUGUCAAGUCAUGCUUUUGGGUCUAGAAUCUGUGUACGAUAACAUAGACAGAUUAUGAGACAAUGGUCCCCUGGGGAUGAAUGCCUCUUCUUCCAGCAGAGUCAGAGACCCCAUGUUGCAUGCUGUCAAUAUGGAGCAGAGGCCUACACCUUCUACAGAAAACCGGGGGGGGGGGGUGUCCACUGAAGGUGUCUUCAGAGGGAAUGACUUAUUCCUUGUGACAACUUCAAAGUGAACUCUCAAGCUAUUCCUUUAGGGGUGUCUCUGUUAUUGACAUUAAUGAUUGAGCCCUUUUACUGCAACAAGAAAUGAUUUUUAACAACAAUCUUCUUAUUCAUUUUUUUUGUUUAGGAGUUGGGAGUCACGGUUCACUUAGCACACAGACUGGAAACAGGGGGAAACUAGCCUGGCUCUGUCCAAAGCGGGCAAAAUCUGUCUACCAGCACCUCCUAGAGCUCACUAACUAAAAUAUUAUAGCUCAUUUUGUUUAAUCAGUACAAAAUCUUGGUUUGGGGUUAUGUGCCUGACUAUUUCUUGGCCGGGACCAGUGACUGCCAAAAGUCUCUGCUAGCUGUUUCCCCCUGUUUCCAGUCUUUGUGCUAAACUAACUGGCUGCUGGCUCCAGCUGCAUAUUUAUCAUAGAGAUGUUAGAGUGGUAACAAUCUUCUCAUCUAAGUCUCGGCAAGAAAGAGAAUAAACAAAUUUCCCAAAAUAUUGAACUACUCCUUUAACGCAGAGACUCACGCUUGGAGACCUUCAACCUUUGUCUAGUAGGGCCAAUUGGUAAUCCAUCCAUACUGCUACGAUGACUCAUGCUGAAGUAUUAAACUACAAAUGGCAAAAUUGUUAUUGUAACCUUCUGCACACUGUGGUCUGAAACUUUUUCAUAACACAGUAAGCACAGUUUCUAAAGUUUUAGUCAUCCUUAGAACUGCUAAUAAGAUAUCUGAAGGAUUCCUAUAUGAGAUUAUUUUGGCCAUUUGACCCUAAUCUGAAAAGUGUUUGAAUGUUUUACUACUUUUAGAUUUAGGAAUUAGGGCAGACUGAGUGCAUGUAGCAAAUAUAGAGCAAAACCUUUGUAAAUAAAAAUGCAUUAAUGAAAUUUAAUUCAUUUUACUGGGGGCCAACUGGAACUCGUUCAAAGGCCUUUGUGGUGUCCAAAAAUUGCACUGUGGGAACCGCUCGUAUCGUUCCACCACCACAGAAAGCUUCAAAGUUGAUUCAGCAGUUACUCUACGUGUUAGUUGCAACCGGCAAAUCAUAAUUUCUCACCAUUAACCUGCAGUGCUUGUGGUGUGGUUGCUAUGGCAACAACUCCCUCCCAGGAAAGGCGAUGCAGCAUAUCCACCGAUUUAUUAGAUCUCUGAUCACACAGCUCCCUCCACAUGGCCAUCUGGGAAAACCAGUCACACAGAAACGUAUGCCCCCCGUUUUACAUUUCGCAAGUCUUCUCAUCAUUUUGCCGCAUUACACUCUGCUGACUAGAAGACAAGGUGUCGUUUUUCUUGUCAGUGCUUGUUUUCGGUCAAAGAUGGGUAGAAUAUUAAAUGAGAAGUGUUGAGGAGUGAUGAAUGUUGGAAGAAAAUAAAGUGGAUGCUGAGAAGUAGUCAAAGACAGACACACAGACACAUAUGACUUCACUGCAAGUGAACUGGUAAUGCCUCUAUCUUUACCAGAAGCAUUUGUUCAAGUUCACAUUGUUUAUUUGGAGUAUGUUAUUGAAUGUCUAUUAGAACAUAAGAGGACAGAGAGUUUUACAUAGAGUUUAAAAAUGUAGUACUUUAAUUUGAUUUUCAUGAUUCAAUCUGAUCUUUUAAUUAAUUGGCAUUAAUAUUAACAGCUUGAUGCUGUCUUCAGCUGUAACUGGAGCAGAUGCCUGCCUGUGAAUGUUUAGCACAUUUGCUACCUUGUUGUUACACUAUCAGACCAGUCCUGGUAUCAUCACCACCUUCUGCCAGGCUAGAGCAAACACUGCUGACAAACUGCAGAUGUUUCCUUCUCUCUCUCUCUCUCUCUCUCUCUCUCUCUCUCUCUCUCUCUCUCUCUCACACACACACA